GAAGCCUCAGUGUCCAGAGAGUCCUGGACUCCAUCCUUGAUACUUCUGACAGGUCAGCCUAGCAUGGUGGUGUGCACCUAGAAUCCCAGCCCAGAAGAGGCCCAAGGCAGGAGGAUCAGGAGUUCAAGGCUAGCCUGUGAUAAAUAACAAAUUGAAAGCCAGUCUGGUGUCUGUAAGAUCCUGCAUAUUUGUUUGCUUGGGGUUUUGUUUUUUUUGUUUUUUUUUUUUUUGAGACAAAACAAAAUACCAAAACUCAAAACAAAAUGGAAAAAGAAAUCUUCUUGGCCGACCACGUUUAUUUAAACUGGAAGAAAUCUUUGUGGGGUUCUUUCUUUUUUCAUUGAAUUUUCCUCAUUUCUCAGUCUUGGGCCGUUGGGCACAUUAAGACAACAGCUCGAGCCUCAAGCCUUGUUAUCCCCUCAGGUCUCACCGUUCUUGACAAUGCGUCUGGGAGGCUAGGGCUUGCGAGUCAGGCCUUAGCUACUCUACUAUUGACUGCUCCUGUUCUGUUUGCUACCAGGAGACAAAUAGGCUGCUGUCCUAAUUGGUCUAGAGAAACGCAUCCCUAACUGUGGAAACGAUGAUUAAACAAUAAUGGGAACUGCAGGACAAAGAAUAUGUGCUUUUCUAGCAACAAAAGCAUGAGGAAAUGCCGCUUUUAAUGUUAAGUCUAAACACACGAAGGGGGAUCCGUAAAGUCUCGGAAUCUCGGCAGAACAAGAAAAGCCAACAAACACACAACUAAGAGGCUUCACGACUUGAAUCCUGAUGUCACCAUGAAUUAUCCUCUUUGUCAUCUCCACCCACAGAGUAAUGACAGACAAAUUACAUGCCUGAGGUUACUCUCUGGGCUGAGGUCUAGACCGCCUUUUUCUCUUCUUCCUAAGCCAGACACUGUUGAGCCGACGUGAAUCAAGGGGAAACUGGAUAGGACAAAAGCAAUUUUUUUUAGGAGUGCAAAUAUUGCAUUUGUUAACGCAACGUGCAGAAUCUUGCACUUUCUACGGAUAUGAUGAAAUCCAAAUAUCAGGGAUUACUAGAAAUCUGAUUUUUCCUGCUUGGAACCAUUACCUGAAAGAUAAGUAAGAAGACGAAGAAGCCUGGCCCAGACUUAAAAUACUUAACAACUGCUAGAUUCAAGCAAGACCAGAAGGCAGCAUAAGCUGAUUUAUCCUGGUGAGGCUCUCCUCAUGGGCUUGUCCAGCUCACUUCCCUGGUGAGGUUCACCCAAGGAUAAAGAACCUGACCACAGUCAAUAACCAUUGAUAUGACUGAUGUGGGAUGGGGGCAGGGGUGGGGGGGGCAGGAAGUUGUUGUUUGGUUGUUUUUGCUUUUACUUCUUAUUCCUAGUCCUGAAGUUUUUCCACCCCCACCCAAUCUUCUGCCCUUUAUUCAACACUAUUCAUCAACUGUAAAUACCAAAUAAUGAGUAAUCGCUGCCCUAAA